rnacentral:lncRNA from 1 species
GGAAAAAGUUCCAGCCUGGGAAACUGUACCUCACCAAGCUUUCCCUCUUCCUCUUCUUUCAACAGGUAGAAGCCUGCCUUGCUUCACCUGGCCUGCCUGCUGCAGCAAGAAGCAGGUGGUCUUCUGCCUUGGCACAGUCCCUCCUGCCUGGAGGGGUCUCCCCAGCUAUUCCCAAG